UUCCAGACUCCUACGGGAGGCAGCAGUGGGGAAUAUUGCACAAUGGGGGAAACCCUGAUGCAGCGACGCCGCGUGAGUGAAGAAGUAUUUCGGUAUGUAAAGCUCUAUCAGCAGGGAAGAUAAUGACGGUACCUGAGUAAGAAGCCCCGGCUAACUACGUGCCAGCAGCCGCGGUAAUACGUAGGGGGCAAGCGUUAUCCGGAUUUACUGGGUGUAAAGGGAGCGUAGACGGCAUGGCAAGUCUGAAGUGAAAGCCCGGGGCUCAACCGCGGGACUGCUUUGGAAACUGUUAAGCUGGAGUGCAGGAGGGGUAAGUGGAAUUCCUAGUGUAGCGGUGAAAUGCGUAGAUAUUAGGAGGAACACCAGUGGCGAAGGCGGCUUACUGGACUGUAACUGACGUUGAGGCUCGAAAGCGUGGGGAGCAAACAGGAUUAGAUACCCCAGUAAC
rnacentral:rRNA from 1 species